UACAGAGGUCCCGAGCGUUGUUCGGAUUCAUUGGGCGUAAAGGGUGCGUAGGCGGUCUUCUAAGUUUGAUGUGAAAUCCCGGGGCUCAACCCUGGAAUUGCAUUGAAUACUGGAGGACUAGAGUACCGGAGAGGAAACUGGAAUUUACGGUGUAGCAGUGAAAAUGCGUAGAGAUCGUAAGGAAGACCAGUGGCGAAGGCGAGUUUCUGGACGGUAACUGACGCUGAGGCACGAAGGCCAGGGGAGCAAAACGGG
rnacentral:rRNA from 1 species